UUUUUUUUUCUUUUUUUUUCUUUCCACUUUUUUUUUCUUUUUACAGCAUAGAUAAUAAUAAAUUCCUCAAAAGAAUAAUCAUGAGAAAAGUAUUGCACUUAUUGACCAUAUUUAUCACUUAACUUAUAAAAUCCAAUAAAGAAAAGAAAUUUCAUCAAAUAUGCAAAAAAAUAUAGGUAUAAUUUUCUCCACUUUAAAAGAUAUACUUUCCUACAAAUGCAAAAAUUAUAAUCACAUAAUAGUCAUUUCCAAGUUAAAUGAGAAAAGAAGUUUCCAAAUCACAUAUAUUUAUCUCAAAUGUAGAAGGAAUUUGAACUACUAAUGGUAUGAAACUUGUUACCCCUUGGAUAAAAUUGAAAAAAUAUGAAACUUUUUGGGGCAAGUUUGCAAUUUUGGACAAGAUUUUAGAAAAAUUUUGAAUUUUAACACAAGUCCAAUAUUUGCAACUAAUAAUUUAAUCACAUACAAUAUAUAUAAUCUCAAUUCUCCCCCCACACUUAACAUACACAUUGUCCUCAAUGUGUAAAAAGGAAAAUCAAGAUAAAGAAAGUAAUACUC
rnacentral:lncRNA from 1 species